GUUUGAGAUUAAGGUGUUCUCACCUGAAACAAAGGAACACAAGCUUCUAUCAGUAAUAAACACCUUGUGUUCAACCUGGACUAAUAACAAAUUUAAGGACAUGAAUAAAUUAAAAGUGCUAGAAACUUUUCAUAUAAUGCUGUAUAAUCUAGACAAAAAUUGUACAGACUUUUGUGCUAAUCUCAAUUGCACAGAUGCGUACACAGUACGCCGCAUUGACACAAACACUUUUGGAGAAAUGUACAAAAAAUCUUGUGAUGGAUCAGUAUCAGGUAUGGACAUUCA
rnacentral:lncRNA from 1 species